AAGUCUUCUUUAAAAUUGAAGACCUUAAUUAUAGUCAAAAUCAAAAUUUGGAUUUUCAUUGAAAUGUGCAAUGCAUGUUUGAUAAAUUAUUUAUUGAGAAAUCUUGGAUAAAUCUACAAUAUGUAUUAUAUGGAUUAUCUUCACAACUAUAUUUGUACAAGAAUAAUUUUGCAAAUAAGAAAAGCCAAACAGAUUCAGAAUAAAGGUCGAAGGCUUCCAAUCAAAGGUCAAAAACCUCCAAGCAAAGGCUCUUAAGAACUAAGGACAGGCCAGAGCCCCAGCUCCCACCUCUAUCACAGGCUUGGAGACCCAGCUUUCGCCUUUAUCACAAGCCCAAAAGAGACUCACUCAACCGAUCAUUGCCCACAAGACCUGAAAAGGCACUCAAAGACCUGAAUAAGGCAGUCAAACCUGAAAAAGGUAGUGAGACCUGAACAAGGCACCAAAGACUUCAAUGAGGCGCUAAAAACCUAAAUAAGGCAAUAAGACUUGAAAAAGGCAGUUAGACCUGAAUAAGGCACCAAAGACCUCA
rnacentral:misc_RNA from 1 species